UUUAAUUCACACAGAAGGGGAGACAUGGCAUGGCACUGAGCAUCUUAGGAAACACCACCAGAGGGGCCGCCCACACUGGGAGAAGUCAAAGGUCAUUACUAACAGCACCGUCUGGUUCAGCCCAGGACUCGGCUCAAAACCAUGGGGGACCGGGCCUUUGAAGCUGCAGCUCCCCGUCUGUGGAACGCUCUCCCAGAACACCUCAGGGCCCCACAGACGGUGG